GAAAUGCGAUAAGUAAUGUGAAUUGCAGAAUUCAGUGAAUCAUCGAAUCUUUGAACGCACCUUGCGCUCCUUGGUAUUCCUUGGAGCAUGCCUGUUUGAGUAUCAUGAAAUCUUCAAAGUAAAUCUUUUGUUAACUCAAUUGGUUUCUACUUUGGUAUUGGAGGUCUUUGCAGCUUCACACCUGCUCCUCUUUGUUCAUUAGCUGGAUCUCAGUGUUAUGCUUGGUUCCACUCGGCGUGAUAAGUUAUCUAUCGCUGAGGACACUGUAAAAGGUGGCCAAGGUAAAUGCAGAUGAACCGCUUCUAAUAGUCCAUUGACUUGGACAAUACUUUUAUGAUCUGAUCUCAAAUCAGGUAGGACUACCCGCUGAACUUGAAC
rnacentral:misc_RNA from 1 species